rnacentral:rRNA from 1 species
GACGAACGCUGGCGACGUGCUUAACACAUGCAAGUCGAACGGAAAGGCCCUGCUUUUGUGGGGUGCUCGAGUGGCGAACGGGUGAGUAACACGUGAGUAACCUGCCCUUGACUUUGGGAUAACUUCAGGAAACUGGGGCUAAUACCGGAUAGGAGCUCCUGCUGCAUGGUGGGGGUUGGAAAGUUUCGGCGGUUGGGGAUGGACUCGCGGCUUAUCAGCUUGUUGGUGGGGUAGUGGCUUACCAAGGCUUUGACGGGUAGCCGGCCUGAGAGGGUGACCGGCCACAUUGGGACUGAGAUACGGCCCAGACUCCUACGGGAGGCAGCAGUGGGGAAUAUUGCACAAUGGGCGGAAGCCUGAUGCAGCAACGCCGCGUGCGGGAUGACGGCCUUCGGGUUGUAAACCGCUUUCGCCUGUGACGAAGCGUGAGUGACGGUAAUGGGUAAAGAAGCACCGGCUAACUACGG